AGAGUUUGAUCCUGGCUCAGGAUGAACGCUGGCGGCGUGCUUAAUACAUGCAAGUCGAACGAGGAGCCUUUGUAGUAAUACGGAGGAUUUCCUAGUGGCGAACGGGUGAGUAACGCGUUGGUGACCUGCCCCGAAGUGUGGGAUAACAGUCCGAAAGGAUUGCUAAUACCUCAUGUGGUCAUGAAGGUUAGAGGCUUUGUGACUAAAGCAGCAAUGCGCUUCGGGAGGGACCUGCGUCCCAUCAGCUAGUUGGUAGGGUAAUGGCCUACCAAGGCAAUGACGGGUAGGGGGCCUGAGAGGGUGGCCCCCCACAAUGGCACUGAAACACGGGCCAUACACCUACGGGUGGCAGCAGUAGGGAAUAUUGGGCAAUGGGCGAAAGCCUGACCCAGCAACGCCGCGUGUGCGAUGAAGGCCUUCGGGUCGUAAAGCACUUUUCUGGGAGAUGAGAAAGGACAGUAUCCCAGGAAUAAGUCUCGGCUAACUACGUGCCAGCAGCCGCGGUAACACGUAGGAGGCAAGCGUUAUCCGGAUUUACUGGGCGUAAAGCGCGUGCAGGCGGUUCGGUAAGUUGGAUGUGAAAGCUCCUGGCUCAACUGGGAGAGGUCGUUCAAUACUACCGGACUUGAGAAUGGUAGAGGAAGGCGGAAUUCCCGGUGUAGUGGUGAAAUGCGUAGAUAUCGGGAGGAACACCAGUGGCGAAGGCGGCCUUCUGGACCAUUUCUGACGCUCAGACGCGAAAGCUAGGGGAGCGAACGGGAUUAGAGACCCCGGUAGUCCUAGCAGUAAACGAUGUGAACUUGGCGUUGGUGGUGUAAAAACCAUCAGUGCCGAAGCUAACGCGAUAAGUUCACCGCCUGGGGACUACGGCCGCAAGGUUAAAACUCAAAUGAAUUGACGG
rnacentral:rRNA from 1 species